rnacentral:rRNA from 1 species
AAACCAGCACCUCAAGUGGUCAGGAGGAUUAUUGGGCCUAAAGCAUCCGUAGCCUGUUCUAUAAGUUUCCGGUUAAAUCCAUUAGCUCAACUAAUGGGCCGCCGAAAAUACUGUGGAACUAGGGAGUGGGAGAGGUAGACGGUACUCGGUAGGAAGGGGUAAAAUCCUUUGAUCUAUUGAUGACCACCUGUGGCGAAGGCGGUCUACCAGAACACGUUCGACGGUGAGGGAUGAAAGCUGGGGGAGCAAACCGGAUUAGAAACCCCGGUAGUCC